rnacentral:misc_RNA from 1 species
CCGAGUGCGGGCCCUCUGGGUCCAACCUCCCACCCGUGUUUAUUGUACCUUGUUGCUUCGGCGGGCCCGCCGUUCUUGGCCGCCGGGGGGCAUUUGCCCCCGGGCCCGCGCCCGCCGAAGACACCCCCGAACUCUGUCUGAAGAUUGUAGUCUGAGUGGAAUGAUAAAUCAAUCA